rnacentral:lncRNA from 1 species
GGGUUAUUGAAUGUCCAAGCUACAAAUUAGGUGAAAAACAGUUAACCCAUUCCUUUCUAUAUGUGCUGAAAUGCCCUAUUCCUUUGCUGGGUUGGGACCUACUGCAUAAAUUAGGAGCCUCCAUUUAUUUGAAAGGGUAAGUGAAGGUAAAUAUCGCCACAGCAUUUGGUCACCAGCUGAUGAUACUCCUGACAAAAGGGACUGAGUCAAAAGACUUAAAGGGAAAUAAUAGAAUUACCAGAGGUAAAUCCCUGAGCCAUCUGAGUGGACCCCAUGAUUGUCGAACUAAAACCUGGGCACAAGUGCCCAAAUGUUAAACAAUAUCUUCUCAGACAGGAUGCCCUAAAUGACAUGGCCCCUGUCAUAAAGAACUUGUCUAAGUCAUGAUGUGGUACCAGCUGAUGGCACAGUGAGAGUAAUGGGGGUGAACCAUGGAACCAAGGGUGGGUUUCUACUGGGGCUGAGAUUCUAUUUGCUUGUGAAAGUUCCUGGAUCCUUUAGAAUUGGUUUUCCUUCCCUAGUAUUGUGAGGCCAUGAGGACCCCGUGCAUUCAUGGUUGGUGGCUCCUGUGGUGACCAGAACAGAAACUGCCACUUGCUGAAAGAGGAAAGGACAGCAACAGCCUCGGGCCAGGGAGGUGACCACCAGGAAAUGAGGUGGGACACAGCCUGGUUACCUGUGCUCAGACAGCUUGGACGUGGUACUCAGAGGGUGCCUUUGAAGCUGGAUGAAUGGACAAGUCACUACAUGGAAAUAGAAGCUCAGAGAGAAAGCAGAAAUGCCAAGAAGAACAGAUAGCUGACAGGGCCCACUGGUACGGUAGGUGGGAGGUUAGAGGUUCCCUCACUCUCUCAGUGACUGCAGGGCAGGUGGUUUCUCUAGAAGGUGUGUUCCUGGUCAUCCUGAGGGUCCAUUCCCAUGGGGAGGCCUUUGGAGGAAGCCCAGGUAGCAGGAUGAGUGUGAGAGUGAAAGGUGGGGGCCAGGGCUGUCCCAAGAGGCAUCUGCUAGAUUCUGAUCCUCCCUCAGGGGCCGCUUCCCUGUCUAAGAAGCUCGCUGUGUGGCAAAGGCGCUCUGCAGGGGCUGUAGGUGAAACCUGGGAGGAAAGCGCUGAACUGGGGAGCAGGCAGCCCAGCCCCAACCUGCUGAGGCUGCAUUCUGAGGACCCACUGGCCCAGCCCUGUUCUGUGGGUUUGAUGUUUCCCGCAACUUGGGCCAAAUUCCCAGUGAAACUCACUGGGUAGGUCGUGAGUUCUCACUCAGAGGUGCAGGGUCUGACCCCUCUCUGGGCAGAGAGAAUGAGCUCCGUCACUCUCAGGGCCAAACACGGGACAUGACUGAACUUGAUGGAUGCCUUAUGUUCUUUGAAUUUUGCCUCUUUCUCCUUAGCCCAGCCUGCCCUUGGCCUUUCCAGCUCUGCCCCAGGAGCCACCCUGCUCCCCACGGAGAUCAAAGGCUCUCUGGCCUCUGGGACUCACCCAUGCUGCUCCCUGGCCUGGCACAUCCCUCCUCCCUCUUCUCUGCACAGGCCCUCCUCACACUGCCCUGUGGGCAUCAGUCCUGUCAUCUUCUCCCAGAACUCGCUGCCUAUGCCUGCUUCCUUCUGCCCUGGACCCCCGCGGCUGUCCACGUUCUACAUCCUGCGCCCCCCACCCCCGCCCCGCCAUGUGCCCCCGAUUCUCCUGAUGGAUUUCCUUAUUUAUUAUUGUUGCCCUGCAGUGUGGGGAGCAGUGCCUGAUGCUCCUCCAGGAGAUGGCCUGGGGCCUGGCACAGGCUGUUCCUCUGUAGGGAAGCUCUCUCCCCCUCCCCCCGGUUAACAACUGCUCACUCACUCAAGGGGCCCUUCCUCCCACAAGCUCCCCAACCCCCAGGCCAAGCCCGGCUGUGCUGGUGGAUGCUCUUGGGGCUCCCUUCCAGCAGCAACCUCGUUACACAUUUAUGACGCAGGUGUGUGAAUGGUGCCCAUCUCCUGCCCCCAUGAGAAGCUUCACAAAGGCAGGGAGCACGUCCACCCUGCUCCUACUGCCCGGCACUCACUGACCUGGUGCUGAUGCGGCGCUGAGAGCAGGGCCUCUAUUACUGCUGCAUCUUCAGAGCACCCAAGACGUGCUCAGAAAUAGGGGUCUGUCCCCACCCCAGCCUGAUUGCAGAAUGACUGGCCCGUGUGCCUCCUCUCACCGUCUGGCCUGCAGAGACGGGGAAAGUGCCCAGUGUAGGCCCAGCCCAGGGGUCUAUUUUUUUUUU